CCCGCUGAACUUAAGCAUAUCAAUAAGCGGAGGAAAAGAAACUAACAAGGAUUCCCCUAGUAACUGCGAGUGAAGCGGGAAGAGCUCAAAUUUGAAAUCUGGCAGCUCUCUGAACUGUCCGAGUUGUAAUCUAGAGAAGUGUUACCUGUGCUGGACCGUGUACAAGUCUCCUGGAAUGGAGCGUCACAGAGGGUGAGAAUCCCGUCUUUGACACGGACUGCCUGCAUGUUUAUGGUGCGCUCUCAAAGAGUCGAGUUGUUUGGGAAUGCAGCUCAAAAUGGGUGGUAAAUGCCAUCUAAAGCUAAAUAUUGGCGAGAGACCGAUAGCGAACAAGUACCGUGAGGGAAAGAUGAAAAGCACUUUGGAAAGAGAGUGAAACAGUACGUGAAAUUGUUGAAAGGGAAACGCUUGAAGUCAGUCGCGUCUUCUGGAACUCAGCCGUGCUUCUGCUAGGCGCAUUUUCCAGUUUGACGGGUCAGCAUCGGUUUCGGUGGGCAGACAAAGGCGCAGGGAAGGUGGCCGCUCCGGUGGUGUUAUAGCCCUGCGUUGUAUGUGCCCGCUGGGACCGAGGAAUCCGGCUCGCGCCUGGGAUGCUGGCGUAAUGGCUCUAAGCGACCCGUCUUGAAACACGG
rnacentral:rRNA from 1 species